rnacentral:rRNA from 1 species
ACUCCUACGGGAGGCAGCAGUGGGGAAUAUUGCACAAUGGGCGCAAGCCUGAUGCAGCCAUGCCGCGUGUAUGAAGAAGGCCUUCGGGUUGUAAAGUACUUUCAGCAGUGAGGAAGGCAGGUACGUUAAUAGCGUGCUUGUUUGACGUUAGCUGCAGAAGAAGCACCGGCUAACUCCGUGCCAGCAGCCGCGGUAAUACGGAGGGUGCGAGCGUUAAUCGGAAUUACUGGGCGUAAAGCGCAUGCAGGUGGUUUGUUAAGUCAGAUGUGAAAGCCCGGGGCUCAACCUCGGAAUUGCAUUUGAAACUGGCAGACUAGAGUACUGUAGAGGGGGGUAGAAUUUCAGGUGUAGCGGUGAAAUGCGUAGAGAUCUGAAGGAAUACCGGUGGCGAAGGCGGCCCCCUGGACAGAUACUGACACUCAGAUGCGAAAGCGUGGGGAGCAAACAGGAUUAGAUACCCGUGGUAGGAUAGCG